UGUAACCAGACUAACCAAAGCAUUUGGUGCACUAAUGAUUGGAAAUAAAGCUGUUAAUUACCUUCGCACUAAUGCCAGUCAAACAACUGUGUGUAACUAGGUUCUAAAGAUUUCACUUAGUUAGCUAAACGAAAUAUGAGGUUCAGUUCUUGAACCGAUUAUAUGUGCCUCUGUAACCCUUUACACCACCGCCCACGGGAUGGGUAUGGGGUGCAUAAUAAAGAAAUUGAAUUGUU